UACGGAGGGUGCAAGCGUUAUCCGGAUUCACUGGGUUUAAAGGGUGCGUAGGCGGGUUGGUAAGUCCGUGGUGAAAUCUCCGAGCUUAACUCGGAAACUGCCGUGGAUACUAUCAAUCUUGAAUAUCGUGGAGGUAAGCGGAAUAUGUCAUGUAGCGGUGAAAUGCUUAGAUAUGACAUAGAACACCAAUUGCGUAGGCAGCUUACUACACGAUCAUUGACGCUGAGGCACGAAAGCGUGGGAGCAAACAGG
rnacentral:rRNA from 1 species